CAGCCCACUGCUCUGAUCAACACCUGGGCCACCACAUCCCUCAUGAGUUGUUAGACUCCGAGGGAAGGCAGGAACAGGGAGCCAGGAGUUGUGCUGGGAAGGGUGUUCAAAGCUGGAAAACAUUCAGAAACACACCAGAACCCAGAAGUAUAUUGUUGUUCAGGCACAGGUUCAGCCCAGACAAGAAGCCUUCUGGAGCCCUUCCUGUCUGGUAUAUUUCACUCCUGGUACCAUAUGUUGUCUUCAACACAAAGUUUCAGAUUCAAUGCAGUAAUUUAGAACAGGUAUUUUAUUAACAAGCAAACACCCAUAUAUGUACAGCAUCCACCAAAUGAACUUAAUCUUCUCUAUCUGAACAAGCUAACUGAUAGGAUUGUUCUUAAGAUUCUAUUAACAUUAAAGAAACAGUAACAUACUGUAUAUCAUCACAAGGUCCCAGCUGGGGGGACUCCUCGUCAGAGGAAGAUCAGGAGGCCUUUGUCUUAGACCCAGCCUUGGGUCAGGCUCCAUCUGGGUGUGAGGAGGCAGGGCCCUGCAAUGAGGCCAAGGAAGGACCAUCUGCAUCCAGGAAGCAUCAUUUCGAAGACCUUAUGCUUAGAGCAGCCUUCCUCAACCUCAGAUCCCCAAAUGUUGUUGGACUGCAGUCAACAUGGCUACACUUCUGGAAACUAAUCUAUAACAUAAUUACCAGGAAGCUGCUUCUGGAACAAAUGGAGCCAAAAGUAAAAUGCUGGAGAGGCAGGAUAAUAAUUCAGUGGGCAAGUUAAUAUUCCGUUGCAUGCAUACCUGAAAUGAGAAUGUGACAUCACCUGUUCAAACAUCUGUGGUACAACUUGUUUAGUAAGCAUGUAGGAGAGGGAGAAUAGUCUGUCAGAGCAUGCUUCAACAGACUUGGAUACAGGACUCAAGAAGAGAUUGAUACCCAUGAGUAAAAUGUUAUUUAAUACAGAGUUUUGCAAUCCUGCUCCGUCAUGUGUUAGAAAGAUUAUUUUUCUUGUAUGUUGUAGGAAGCUUGGAAAAAAACCUGUUCAAUGCAUUGUCAGGGAUCUGAGUCAACUUUGGUCCAAGUUCUGGUACAAUCCCUUUAUCUUUUCCCUGUAACUAGUAGAUGCCUCUUUAUCGAGAAACAUUAUAAUAGAGAGAUAUGCAAUGUGAUAAGAAAUCACUCCAUUCACUGCUGACCAGAGGCUUUCCCUUAGUCUUCUCUUCUCUUCAGCCUCCCAAUCUUGUAGACUGGUCAGACAGCCAGGCUCUUCCGAGCUUGCUAGUUCACCAGUCCAAACCCAAUUCUUAAUAUUAAGAAGUUCCUUUGAGAUACAGGAAAACAAAAUGGCAUGGGGAUCCAAAUGACAGCAUAAAAACAAACAAAAAGAUUCGCAUCCUCUAAAGUUUAGAUCAAGGGUGGCUACUCUGAUUCUAGUCCCUUAGUUCAGAAAAGUGUUCUCUCUUUCAGGGGGAAAAUCUUUCUGUCCCUGUAAGGGACUUUUAAAGCAAGUUUCUUGGGGCCAGAUGAUAGCUUACAUGUGCUCCCUACAUAACAAGCAAGCUGGUCUCUUAUGGCACUGAAAAAGUACCCCAAAGUUAAAAUGAAGUAAUAGGAAGAAGAGAAGGAUUAUGUCUAAACGAAGGGCUUUUCUUGACAAGCAUAUGUAAAUUUCAGUGACUAAAUACUUAUCAAAAUUUGAAUGUACACAACUAAAAUACUAAUUCUGUAGCAGUUUUGCUGGAGCAGACUGCUUUUGUUUUUAAGUGUAUUAUCAGUCUCAGAAGCAAAAGGAAUUCAGGCUUCAUGAAAAGAGAAAUAGGGAGAUUCAGAGUAUUUUUUCUUUUCUAUUCUCUUGCUUUUCGGGUUGUUGGCAUAUAAUCUUCUUUUCCAUUAUGCUCUGCAACAAUUAUUGUACAUGUUCAUGUAUAUAUUAAAAAAAAACACUUUGAACCA